rnacentral:rRNA from 1 species
UACGUAGGGGGCAAGCGUUGUCCGGAAUCAUUGGGCGUAAAGAGCGCGUAGGCGGUCCGGUAAGUCCGCUCUGAAAGUCCGGUGCUCAACCCCGGGAGGCGGGCGGAUACUGUCGGGCUAGAGUCCGGAAGAGGCGAGUGGAAUUCCUGGUGUAGCGGUGAAAUGCGCAGAUAUCAGGAGGAACACCAAUGGCGAAGGCAGCUCGCUGGGACGGUACUGACGCUGAGGCGCGAAAGCUAGGGGAGCAAACAGG